rnacentral:rRNA from 1 species
UACGUAGGUGGCAAGCGUUGUUCGGAAUUAUUGGGCGUAAAGGGCGCGUAGGCGGUUUGUUAAGUCAGUUGUGAAAGCCCGGGGCUCAACCCCGGAGGGUCGACUGAUACUGGCGGACUAGAGUACGGAAGAGGUAGCUGGAAUUCCCGGUGUAGCGGUGAAAUGCGUAGAUAUCAGGAGGAACACCGGUGGCGAAGGCGGGUCUCUGGGCCGUAACUGACGCUGAGGAGCGAAAGCGUGGGGAGCGAACAGG